rnacentral:rRNA from 1 species
GAUGAACGCUGGCGGCGUGCCUAAUACAUGCAAGUCGAGCGAACAGGCGAGGAGCUUGCUCCUCUGACGUUAGCGGCGGACGGGUGAGUAACACGUGGAUCACCUACCUAUAAGACUGGGAUAACUUCGGGAAACCGGAGCUAACACCGGAUAAUAUAUUGAACCGCAUGGUUCAAUAGUGAAAGACGGUGUUGCUGUCACUUAUAGAUGGUUACGCGCCGCAUUAGCUAGUUGGUAAGGUAACGGCUUACCAAGGCAACGAUGCGUAGCCGAGCUGAGAGGGUGAUAGGCCACACUGGAACGGAGACACGGUCCAGACGCCUACGGGAGGCAGCAGUAGGGAAUCUUCCGCAAUGGGCGGAAGCAUGACGGAGCAACGGCGCGUGAGUGAUGAAGGUCUUCGGAUCGUAAAGCUCGGUUAUUAGGGAAGAACAGAUGUGUAAGGAAAUAUGCACGUAUUGACGGUACCUAAUCAGAAAGCAACGGCUAACUACGUG